rnacentral:misc_RNA from 1 species
AAGUCGUAACAAGGUAACCGUAGGUGAACCUGCGGUUGGAUCAUUACUGAUUCGUAAAAUGCUUUGUGUAAUGUGUGUUUGGUUUCCUUUUUUUUCUUCUUUUUUCUUUUGGUUUCAGGGGAGAGUCUUUUGACUUUUUUCUAAGAUUGAGGGAAAGGGGGAGGGGAGGGGGCGCCUACCGCUCACAAGACUAAAGCCGUUUACCAUCCUGUUUGCUUUGUAUUGUUGUCAGCUUCUGAGAUGAGGAAGGACCGCCCGUUAAAAGGCUUGUGUCC